GGAGAAUCUGCCUUUUUAAUGCCAUUCUUCGCCUCGCUGUGCUGUGAUCCCGGCCGGAACCCGGGCCCGGGAGUGGCUCUGGGGCUCUUUGGUAACUUAUCGCCUCGCCCUACUAGGAACAUUUGGAAUUGCACGCUGCUCUUGUUAGAAUCAACUACCAUCCAUGUGUCUCCCUGGACAUGAUACUUCGGCUGAACAGAUUAACUCCCAAUUACUUCCGAUUAUUACAGAUGCAACUUGCGGGUGAAGCUGUGGUCCAGAGUACUGGCCGACUCAUUAACUUCUCUGCACUGCUCCUAGCUGUAGGGGGUAUCGGUCUGUCCUCCUAUAGCACCAGAAGAAUGACUGAAGCAGCUGAAACCAGUGCAGUUGUUGGAACAGGGGCAUCGGAGGAGAGGAAUGAACUGCGCCAAAGUGGAUAAUGGACAGAUGGACACAUGAUUCCCGUCACUUAAAGUGGUCCCCUCUCUGCAUUCUAUCUGAAUAGACGAGCCAUAUUAAGAGGAGUAGUUGGUAAAAUGAAUGACUGAUACAGAUGCUGCUCCUACUACUCCCUGAAUGUGGUCAAUGGGACAGUGAGAAUUUUUGUUACUGCCUCAGGCAAUCUCUUCAUGUAUCACUAUUCCUUCUCACUGGGAGAGAACAGACAGAAAGUUGGCUUGAGGUCCAGUACAAGGUGUCACUGUGAUUAAGCAGCAAGUUACAUGUGGAACAAAUUAACAGUUAUAUUGGCAGCAAAUAUGAUCAUUGUACACUUAAGUUCUCAGUAUCAUUCAUAACCCAAGCUCUUACUGAGGUACCCCAUCACUCAUAACAUUAGGGUCUUUCCACCUGUGUAUCCCAUCUGAUUGUUGGGCUCUGACUGGGGUGUUGGGACAAAGGUUGUAGUUCGGAUGCCCCUCUUUAAGCACCAUAUCCUGGCAUGGCAUAAUUUUAAUAUUUAGGAAUGGUUCAGAAUUUAAAGAUCGAUGUGUGGAAAAUGGACUUGUUAUCAGUGGGGUUGCCAAUCUUCCUGGAAUAUUCUGGAGUCUCCAAGAUUUAAAGGUUAAUCUCCUGGAUGCUAUGGUGGGCAAGUCUUGGAAAAAAUCAUAGGGGCAUUAAAAAUAUAAGUUCUCAUUUUCUUUGAACAUCUUUGUUUAUUGGUUAUACAAAUGUCAGAGAUGGAGAAAAAUACUAUUUGUUUGGGUGGCAAGCUAGGAGGUGGGAGGUCAUGUGAUAAAGCCUCCAGGAAUACUUCCACCCAGAGUUGACAAACCUAAUUAUCAGACAAACUGAACUAGUUAAAAUCAGCUGCUCUUUCAGACUAGGCCAGAGUGGAAAAACCUGUCAAAUGGCUCCACGACUGACUAAUAUGCCCCUGUUUAAGUCAUAGAUUCUAAUUUGUAUUUGUUUGCCUCCCACUUUGGGAAGGCCUACAAGCAGCUUAUACAAGGAACCUGUAGUAACACAUGUCAAUAAAAUAAUAUGUAUAGUUAAUAGAUAGUAAGCACAGCACUGUAGCGAGCUGACGUAACAGUGAUUGUGUCCAUGACUGGAAACUCAAGGGCAAAUUGUAGCUGCUGCAGUGCUGUACUUCUGCCAGUGAGUGGUGCCAGUGAGCAGCAUGUGCUGGCACCCUCUACUGGCGAAUGGGAGUUAACUGCAUACUAGUGCCUCUACUGGCAGAUAAAGUUACAGAUAAUGAAAAGGACAACAUUUGCCAAUUUUUAUAGGUUAACUUUGAAGAACAGCUCUGUAAGGCCGUUUGCUCCCUACCAGCAGCAGUACCUUGCGAGACAAAUGAUCUUUUUAUCUUUUUAGAUUUCCAGCAUCCGCAGUGUUUUGCUUUGAUCUUUUUAUCAUGGUGUUUUCAUACCUGAAUAAAAAUGCCAUAGUGCUGAUUUGAACUUAAACAUUGGAACAAAACAAAGUAAUUCAGCCAUUUAGUUAUCACCUAGCUCACCCCAUCGCCCAGCUCCAGGCUAUCCAAGCCUGAAAAUUAACACAAAAUUAGACUUGUUGGUGCCAGGAUUUUCACAGUUGCAUUGAAGAAUGAACAUAACAAAUCUGAACUCAUUAAAUUCAUUGAUGCUAGGAUCAGGAGUAUUUGUAAAUUCUGCCAUUAGACAAACCCCAUCCCCUCAUCGUCACUGUUGUGUUAUUUAUUUGGUUUGACAGGUUCUCAGGGUUAACAUCUACAAGCGAUUGUGGGCAACUGUUUGGACACCUUCCAGUGACACUAAAAUGCAAGUUACGUAACAGCUGAUAUUAUUGGUUUUGUAGAUUUUUCUUUAUAUAAGUACAGGCCCCCGGCCUGGAGCUGCCCUACAUACGCUUCACAGAACAUUGGGUUGGUUUGAAACACAAACAGAUGUGACAGCCGGAAUGUGCCUAAGGGAGAACGCUCAUCAAACACAGUGCACUUUGCUCAGUACUGGAAUGCAGCUCAGGCUUUCUCAGUCACAGCUCUCAUGCAAACCUGGACACUGCCUCCCUUAGUCAGGAACACUGUGGUUUAUUGUCUGAAUUGCCAACACAUUUCUCAACAUGUACAAAGAAACUUGGCAGUGCUACAUGCUCCUCCUGGGCUACUGAAACAGAAAUUGGGUUUGUAAUGUUUAUUGUCUGUAAUAUUUGCUCUGCUGACACCAUAAUGCAGUUAUCA